CAUGGCCAGGAACAAGAUGCUGGUCAAAGCACUUCUUCUCUCAGAGACUGUUAACAAGUGAUAAGUCAUAGUCGACUUAUUGAAGAGGCACCUCAUUGGUCUUACAUAUCGUUCAUCUUCACCACAUUGGAACUGCAGGUUAUGUCAUCCCAGAUUCCAUCUCUGCUGUGGGUCUGGAGUCACACGUAGGCCAGACCAGUUUGUUCACUCGUUUUCCCCGAAAUGUAAUCUAUACUAUUCACCUGAACCACUCCAUAUGUUAAUGAAUGCUCAACAAUGAGGCACAGAAAAGCCAGGAAAACAUGGAAAAUUCAACAAUUUUCAUCAAAAGUAACAAAGAAGCAGGAUAAAUCAAAGUUUCAAGAGGAAGUGACUGAAACAAAAGGCAGCUUGUAAAAGUGAGGAGGAGGUUUGGCACACCGGGAUGGCACCAUUCGCCACAGCAGAUUCGCCGCCGACGAUUAGCCACUGCCCAUUGUUCACCGAGGACGCUUAGCCACCGCCCAUUGGCCACUGAAGACGA